rnacentral:tRNA from 1 species
AAUAAAGUGCCUGAUUUAAAGGAUUAUUCUGAUAGGAUAAAUUAAGUAGUUUUUCUACCUUUAUUA